AAUAGUUUCUUUGGUGGUGACUUACUACAUGGAUAACCGUAGUAAUUCUAGAGCUAAUACAUGCGUAAAUCUCGACUCACGAAGAGACGUAUUUAUUAGAUAAAGACCGACCUCGUUCUGCGGUGAAUCAUAAUAACUUCACGGACCGCAUGGCUUCAUGCCGGCGGUGUUCCAUUCAAAUUUCUGCCCUAUCAACUUUCGACGGUAGGAUAGAGGCCUACCGUGGUGUUCAUGGGUGACGGAGAAUUAGGGUUCGAUUCCGGAGAGGGAGCCUGAGAAACGGCUACCACA
rnacentral:rRNA from 1 species